AAAAUUACUACGGAGGUCGCCCAAGGCCCACUAGACCCAUUCCUAAAAUCGGUUAUUGCCGUGAUUACCAAGGUAACUACGUUGCUCCUGGAUCCUCAUACUACGACGGAUGCAACACUUGCCGCUGUGGAGGUAACGGUAUGCCCGACAUAUGCACUCUUCGCUUCUGUGGUCCAUAAAACGGGCUAAGCAACAGAACCGGCCGACCUUUGGGACAAGUCUAUUGCAGAAAGAAACCAAAAAUUGGAACAGUUGCUUUAUCUUCAUUUGUUUGUUAUAAUCCAUUCCUAUGUUAAGUGUAAUACAUACGUUUUGAAUCGAAUACAU